GAGAACUGAAAGGCUUUUUGAAGUCUUCGGAUGGAUAGAAGAACCCCUGAUGCCGUCGAGCCAAGAAAAGUUUCUAAGUUUAGCUAAUGUUGCCCGUACCGUAAACCGACACAGGUGGGUGGGAUGAGUAUUCUAAGGCGCGUGGAAGAACUCUCUUUAAGGAACUCUGCAAAAUAGCACCGUAUCUUCGGUAUAAGGUGUGGUUAGCUUUGU
rnacentral:rRNA from 1 species